CACACACACACACACAAAUAUGCAGAAUGUGUUUCAUCUCAGCAGUGUCCUCCCUGUGCUUGGGGAAAGGGGUCUUUUCUCAUGAGGCUGUCUUACAAAAUAGACCCCAUGAAAAUUAAAUUACAUUUCACCACUCUCACUCUCGUGAGAAAUCCCCCAUGAGUUAUGAGUGUGUGUGUGUGUGUGUGUGUGUGUGUGUAUUAGUAUUCAUUGCAUGCCUGUGUAAGAGAGUAUGUCGAUGCGUAUGUGUGGAUAUCAUAUGUGUGUGCUUUUGCGUCAGUGUGUGUGUGUGUGUGUGUGUGUGUUUCGGAUGCCCUCGUUUCAUCUGGAUUAAGUGCAUCAGUGGACACCCUCCCCACUCCCCAGACCUGAGCUAUGGCGUCUCUGCGAUAGGGCCGUCCAUUUGUCUUGUGUGUGUGUGUGUGUGUGUGUGUGUGUGUGUCUGUGUGCCGUCCAUUUGUCUUGACUGGGUUUGUUGUUCUUAGUAUGUGACCUCACCGACAGUAGUGAUAAUAUCAACCAAUGGCGGCAGUUAAUUGGAACCAGUGCUGGGGGAGUUUCUAGAAGGUUCUCUCUCUCGCUGCCUGAGCUGUGGAGCUCUGGUCAACCGCCAGCAACUUUAUCACAAACACUCAGAACAACUACAGUAUCAGCAGAGAUGUGUGUGUGUGUGUGUGUCCUCUCCUCUCCCCUCCCCUCCGGAUGCAUCCAGCACUCAGCGUCAGGGUUCGAGAAGGUUCUGCCAGAGUGGAACAACUACAGUAUCAGCAGAGAUGUGUGUGUGUGUAUGUGUGUGUGUGUCCUCUCCCCUCCCCUCCGGAUGCAAAUGGUGUCAGAAGUGGGUGAGGUCAUCGGAGGGGCACCCUUGAACACUGUGUGAGGGACCCCCAGGAAUGUUGACCCCGUGUGAAGGACCCCAUGGUUGGGUGAAGCACUGUGUGAGGGACCCCCAGGAAUGUUGACCCCGUGGUUGGGACCCCAUGGUUGGGUGAAGCACUGUGUGAGGGACCCCCAGGAAUGUUGACCCCGUGUGAAGGACCCCAUGGUUGGGUGAAGCACUUGUGUGAGGGACCCCCAGGAAUGUUGACCCUGUGUGAAGGACCCCAUGGUUGGGUGAAGCACUUGUGUGUGUGGGGUGCUCUGGAUGGGAGAAGCAUGAUUGGUGUAUGCGUGAGGGAUAUCUGUGUACGUGAAGCUUCCCGAAGGUGAGGGCAGUGUGAUCGUCCCUACGGUUGUAUAUGGGAGCGUGGUCACCCCACCCGGACUCGAACCCGGGUCUACAGGGUGCCAAAACAUGCACUCUGACCGCCACACCAAAAGAGCCCUGCUCAAUGGCAUGGCAGCCAGAGAGCAUAUUCAACCAUAGAGACGAUCACAUCGUCACAGAGUGUUGAAUAGAAAUGUCUGCGGGCAGGAAGAGUGACCUUGCAGC
ensembl:lncRNA